rnacentral:rRNA from 1 species
CCUACGGGUGGCUGCAGUGGGGAAUAUUGGUCAAUGGACGAAAGUCUGAUCCAGCCAUGCCGCGUGAGGGAAGAAGGCUCUAUGAGCUGAAAACUGCUUUUGUACGAGGGUAAAUCCCGAUACGUGUAUCAGGUUGCCAGUAUCGUACCGAUCAGGAACGGCUAACUCCGUGCCAGGAGCCGCGGUAAUACGGAGGAAUCAAGCGUUAUCCGGAUUUAUUGGGUUUAAAGGGUGCGUAGGCGGUUUGAUUAGUUAGAGGUGAAAUCCCGGGGCUCAACUCCGGCACUGCCUUGGAUACUGUCGGGCUUGAGUGUAGUUGCGGUAGGCGGAAUUGAUGGUGUAGCGGUGAAAUGCAUAGAGAUCAUACAGAACACCGAUUGCGAAGGCAGCUUACCAAACUACGACUGACGUUGAGGCACGAAAGCGUGGGGAGCAAACAGGAUUAGAUACCCCGGUAGUC